rnacentral:rRNA from 1 species
UACUCGAGUGGCGAACGGGUGAGUAACACGUGGGUGAUCUGCCCUGCACUUCGGGAUAAGCCUGGGAAACUGGGUCUAAUACCGGAUAGGACGAUGGUUUGGAUGCCAUUGUGGAAAGUUUUUCGGUGUGGGAUGAGCUCGCGGCCUAUCAGCUUGUUGGUGGGGUAAUGGCCUACCAAGGCGUCGACGGGUAGCCGGCCUGAGAGGGUGUACGGCAACAUUGGGAUUGAGAUACGGCCCAG